UGCAUUAAGAAUACGAAUUAUAGACACGGUCUACAAUGAGAAUUUCCCUAACUUUCUAUUCUCACCUGGUUUUAAAUAGAUCGUUUCGACUGUACUUCUCCACGUCUUUUAACAUUCAGUAACGAUAAAGCAAACUGAGGACCACACUUAGGUGAAGCAGCAGAAUCAGAAGGUGAAGUGGUUGCCUAGCAACAUCACCUGUGAGUAAUUAAGCAUCUCUCGAGAAUUGCUGAAGUUGGCUUUGAAUUCUUGGCCUUGUUACAAAUAGCUACUUAGGCUAGUUGGACCCUGCCUAACGGUUGCGUUGCACAUUAUAAUGCCCAACAUGGGCCGGGAAGUAAGAAGGCGUUAUCACCAACAUGUGUUUUUCAACAAGGCUCGCAGUCACCUGUGGCACAGGUCACCGCUAAAAAUAUGUGGACGUAUCCAGUUCAGGGGCUCUGACACCAAGGCAAGGCAUUUACACGCGAAUGAGUGA
rnacentral:lncRNA from 12 species